CCUACGGGUGGCAGCAGUGAGGAAUAUUGGUCAAUGGACGAGAGUCUGAACCAGCCAAGCAGCGUGAAGGAUGACUGUCCAAAGGGUCGUAAACUUCUUUUAUCUGGGAAUAAAACGUUCCACGUGUGGGAUGUUGUAUGUACCAUAUGAAUAAGGAUCGGCUAACUCCGUGCCAGCAGCCGCGGUAAUACGGAGGAUCCGAGCGUUAUCCGGAUUUAUUGGGUUUAAAGGGAGCGUAGGCGGAUUGUUAAGUCAGUUGUGAAAGUUUGCGGCUCAACCGUAAAAUUGCAGUUGAAACUGGCAGUCUUGAGUACAGUAGAGGUGGGCGGAAUUCGUGGUGUAGCGGUGAAAUGCAUAGAUAUCGCGAAGAACUCCGAUUGCGAAGGCAGUUCACUGGACUGCAACUGACACUGAGGCUCGAAAGUGUGGGUAUCGAACAGGAUUAGAUACCCGAGUAGUC
rnacentral:rRNA from 1 species